AGAGUUUGAUCAUGGCUCAGAAUGAACGCUGGCGGCACGCUUAACACAUGCAAGUCGAACGAGAUCUUCGGAUCUAGUGGCAGACGGGUGAGUAACGCGUGGGAACCUGCCCAGUAGUAGAGAAUAACUUGGGGAAACUUAAGCUAAUACUUUAUACGUCCUUCGGGAGAAAGCUUUAUGCGCUAUUGGAUGGGCCCGCGUUAGAUUAGUUUGUUGGUGAGGUAAUGGCUCACCAAGGCUACGAUCUAUAGCUGGUCUGAGAGGAUGAUCAGCCACACUGGGACUGAGACACGGCCCAGACUCCUACGGGAGGCAGCAGUGGGGAAUAUUGGACAAUGGGGGCAACCCUGAUCCAGCGAUGCCGCGUGAGUGAUGAAGGCCCUAGGGUUGUAAAACUCUUUCGUCAGGGAAGAUAAUGACGGUACCUGAAGAAGAAGAUCCGGCUAACUCCGUGCCAGCCGCCGCGGUAAUAC
rnacentral:rRNA from 1 species